GUCUCAGUCGCUGUCGCUGUCGCUGCCUCUGCUGACACGGCAUCACUUUUACGAGUGCACUGAGAGAAUAAUGUCAUGCGGUUAUGACAAAAUUGAGUACAGAAUCGAUUCUGUGUACGGAAGUAGGCAUGGACCCCCCUAUUUUCCACCCAGCUGGGUGCUCAUCCGAAAUCGGUGAUAAACACGUUGAUUAAAAUGAUUUUGAUGCCGGUUGAAUGAAAGGCGAAACAAAGGAACAAAAAGAAAAA